AAGACUAUACUUACAGGCAUCAUUUCUGUAGUUGGUUACUAGAGAAGUUUCUGUGACAGGGUAGACUACCAAAUUUUAGAAGAAUACACUUCAAAUGCUUCAAGCUUAGG
rnacentral:snoRNA from 10 species